UGAGUCCGUUGUACACUGAUGACUUGAGGU
rnacentral:piRNA from 1 species